UACGGAGGAUCCAAGCGUUAUCCGGAGUGACUGGGCGUAAAGAGUUGCGUAGGUGGUUUGAUAAGCGAAUAGUGAAACCUGGUGGCUCAACCAUUCAGACUAUUAUUCGAACUGUCAAACUCGAGAAUGGUAGAGGUAGCUGGAAUUUCUAGUGUAGGAGUGAAAUCCGUAGAUAUUAGAAGGAACACCAAUGGCGUAGGCAGGCUACUGGACCAUUUCUGACACUAAGGCACGAAAGCGUGGGGAGCGAACCGG
rnacentral:rRNA from 1 species